rnacentral:rRNA from 1 species
GAUGAACGCUAGCGGCAGGCUUAAUACAUGCAAGUCGAGGGGCAGCAGGGUGUAGCAAUACAUCGCUGGCGACCGGCAAACGGGUGCGGAACACGUACGCAAUCUUCCCAAAACUGAUGAAUAGCCCUCCGAAAGGAGGAUUAAUACAUCGUAACAUAAUGAAGUGGCAGCACUUUAUUAUUAUAGCUCGGGCGGUUUUGGAUGAGCGUGCGUCUGAUUAGGUAGUUGGUGGGGUAAAGGCCUACCAAGCCGACGAUCUGUAGCUGGUCUGAGAGGACGACCAGCCACACUGGGACUGAGACACGGCCCAGACUCCUACGGGAGGCAGCAGUGGGGAAUUUUGGACAAUGGGCGCAAGCCUGAUCCAGCCAUGCCGCGUGCGGGAAGAAGGCCUUCGGGUUGUAAACCGCUUUUGUCAGGGAAGAAAUCCUUUGGGUUAAUACCUCGGGGGGAUGACGGUACCUGAAGAAUAAGCACCGGCUAACUACGUGCCAGCAGCCGCCGUAA